AUUGAACGCUGGCGGCAUGCUUUACACAUGCAAGUCGAACGGUAACAGGUUAAGCUGACGAGUGGCGAACGGGUGAGUAAUGCAUCGGAACGUGCCCGAUCGUGGGGGAUAACGCAGCGAAAGCUGCGCUAAUACCGCAUACGAUCUGAGGAUGAAAGCGGGGGACCGUAAGGCCUCGCGCGAUCGGAGCGGCCGAUGUCAGAUUAGGUAGUUGGUGGGGUAAAGGCUCACCAAGCCAACGAUCUGUAGCUGGUCUGAGAGGCCGACCAGCCACACUGGGACUGAGACACGGCCAAGACUCCUACGGGAGGCAGCAGUGGGGAAUUUUGGACGAUGGGCGUAAGCCUGAUCCAGCAAUGCCGCGUGCAGGAAGAAGGCCUUCGGGUUGUAAACUGCUUUUGUACGGAGCGAAAAGGUUCUCUCUAAUACAGAGGGCUCAUGACGGUACCGUAAGAAUAAGCACCGGCUAACUACGUGCCAGCCGCAGUAACAC
rnacentral:rRNA from 1 species